rnacentral:rRNA from 1 species
AGAGUUUGAUCCUGGCUCAGAACGAACGCUGGCGGCGCGCCUAACACAUGCAAGUCGAACGCGAAAGGGGGCAACCCUGAGUAAAGUGGCGCACGGGUGAGUAACGCGUAGGUGAUCUACCUCUGCAACCGGGAUAACCAGCCGAAAGGUUGGCUAAUACUGGAUAGAGCGCAACAGUCGUAGAGACUGAUGCGGGAAAA